ensembl:lncRNA
GGAGCGGAUACAGGGGACUGCAGACGGCCUGGCCGGGGCAGGGACGAGGAUGGGGGUGCGGAGGGUAAACAUUCCCAGCCCCAGUGAGCGUCUCCCCACGGGGGUUCGGUGAGCAAGUCAAAUGGCUUUUGUUCCUUUUGUUUUUGCUCAUUCCAUAAAGGAUUUUACUUGACUCAUGAUUUCCCAGCUGGCUCCUUCUGUAGCUUAAGAAAGCAAGAGUGAAUAAUUGCUCUGGCUUUUUGCUUCUUGGGUUUUUUCCUUCCUUACAGGAAUGUGUAAACACCCUGAGGUUUUACAGAAGGGUUGCCAAACCUCGUGUGUUAGAGACUCCACAUGCUUUCGGGCAAUGGCUGGCAUCCUCGCCGGAGGAACUGGGCUGACCCUUUUGGCAGGUUACUCUCACCCAGCCGUCAAGGACCAUGGCCUGGGGUGCGCUGGAUCAUACCCCGCCCUCCACUCCCCCCACUGUAUGUGUUGAAGUUCUAGCCUCCCGGAUCUCAGAAUGCGACUGUGACUGGAGCCCCCGAGCCACUAGAGGGAGCAUGAUGGCUGCCAAGAGCCACGUGGCGCACCUGUCUCCCAAACAAGGAAAGGUUCGCACCUCCCCCAUGGCACUGGCAUUGGCAGAGACCCCCCUGUGCCACCCCACGUUGCCUGCGCUGCUCCAUCACAGCUCUGAAGACACUUCAUGAUGCUUUUGGUCGAUGCCUCUGUAUCCCGUAGACCCCAAGUUUCAAGCAGCAUUUAUUACCACAUUCCCCUUGUUCCUGGCCCAUAGCACGUAUAUAACAGGGGUUGAGGCUGAGUGGUCAGUACACCGUGACGGCUGACCCACACACAGGAGACCCAGCACUGCUCUGGCCGCCGGCUCUGCCUUCUCAUCACACGAGCAUCAGAGGAGCGGCAUGACACUGUCCCAGUGUUCCUCAAGAGGUCCUGUCUGACUGUCAGGGCAGGACUGACGGAAUGGAGUACUUGUGACACCAUCCCAGAUGACCCGGACAGGCUGGGCAGGCCAGGCCUGCCACUCACAGCGCUGUGGACAGCUGGGCUACCGGCCCAGGGUGGGCAGCGGGCACAGGCUUUUAGCUCUACUCUGCAUGGGGAACAGACGGCGUGGGGGGAGGGAGCAGAGACCAGGGGCUCCGGAACAGAGGGCCCGCCCUGUCUAUACCAGGGCAUCCUAAGACCGACCACUGGGCCAUGUUGAGCCUGAAAUAAUGAAGGGCAUGUGGAAACUCACGUGCAGACAUCACACCGGCACAUUCUAAGCUUCAUCCAAAGGCAAAGCAGUGGACAAAAGAAUCCAGUGGUUCCCCACACCUAUGUCACAUGUCAGUGUUAAAAACUAAAGAAUCUUCUUCUUCUUAACCACAUAAGAAGAAAAAAUGAAAUCAACUUAACUACUUCUCAAUUUUUUCCUGGCUCUCUCAACCAACUUGCCAAUCUGGACUGUAAAAUAAACAAAAACCAUGAGAAUAUGUAGAAAAGCCC